CAAUCAGUGCAUGGCACAUUGCCUUACCCAAUAGUUGCUUAGAUUCUGCUUUUUCUAAAGGUCUUUCUGAUACACUUCUAGAUGAAAUUUACCUGAGUGUUUGGAAGAUUAUAUCUCAUACACCUUUCUUAUUGACAACAGACAUAGGGACAGAGAAAACAUAAAAAAUAGACCUAAAUGUCCAUCUAUUCAUCAAACAUUUUGUUUAACUCCUUCUACUCAUGCAGUUGCACCCAAAAUUGAACCUAUGCAAUUCAGAGUGAUUAAACUAUAAGAAGCCGAGAAGCAAUUUAUGACAGAAGCGCCCAUGCCAUGGCCUUUUGGAGAGGCUUGAAGGCCAGCCUCUUGCCCAUAGACUAUAGACUUGGUCCCAAGAGCCCCUGAAAGUGGCUUGUGAUGGUAGCAAUUGAAAAACAAAUUAUUCAUUGUUACUUGAUUACUCUGCUGCGCCCUCUGCUGGCUGAGUGGAAGUUUGUACAUUUGUAUAAUGCUGAUAUGCAAAUGAAGGCAGCCAAAUAAGCAGUUAAAUGCAUAUAUUAUUAGUUUUAGUGUGUUUAACAAUGUUAUUUGUAUUAUGUUGUAUUAAUUAUAAUUGCUCGUUCGCC